AGACUUUUUUGGACACAAUAGGAGUUACCAGAUUCUUCUAAAUGCUCUACGUCAGGACUCUUCUGAUGCAGUUACAAAAAACGGAUUUUUAUAAUGGCUUUUCAUAUUUUAGGAGACACAUCAGUGACUGGAAAAUGUCCCCGGAUGUGUGUUGUCUCUGUGUCGAGUGUUUCAGGGCAUGACGGCUUGUCUUGCUGAGGGCUCAGCCUGCCGCUCUGGGGUCCUUGGCUCCGCCUGUGUGAUCCUGCGGAGUUGCUUUUACCUGGAAAGUACAGGACCGAACCUUUCUUCUUGGGUCCUCCAAGUGUUGAUUUGGAGGGAAGGCGUUUCCUCCCCCAGCUGCUGCCAGCUCUCCAGGGAGAUCUCAGGGCCGCUGGUGUGAGGGUGUCAGCAGGUGGUCAUUCCCUCCACAACCCUGUCCUGGAGAACCGCCGGGACCCUGGGCUUCAGUGUGCUUGGGUCCAGGUCACCCACGGGUAGUCUGUCAUCUGGGGCAUGGAUGUUGAC
rnacentral:lncRNA from 1 species